GCCGGGAUGGCGGAAUUGGUAGACGCGCAUGCUUCAGGUGCAUGUAGGAUUUUAUCCUGUGGGAGUUCGAGUCUCCCUUUCGGCACAA
rnacentral:tRNA from 2 species